GAGUUUGAUCGUGGCUCAGAUUGAACGCUGGCGGUAUGCUUAACACAUGCAAGUCGAACGGUAACAGGAGAGAGCUUGCUCUUUUGCUGACGAGUGGCGGACGGGUGAGUAAUGCGUAGGAAUCUGCCUAGUAGUGGGGGACAACGUGUGGAAACGCACGCUAAUACCGCAUACGCCCUACGGGGGAAAGCGGGGAUCUUCGGACCUCGCGCUAUUAGAUGAGCCUACGUUAGAUUAGCUAGUUGGUGGGGUAAAGGCCUACCAAGGCGACGAUCUAUAGCUGGUCUGAGAGGAUGAUCAGCCACACUGGGACUGAGACACGGCCCAGACUCCUACGGGAGGCAGCAGUGGGGAAUAUUGGACAAUGGGCGAAAGCCUGAUCCAGCAAUACCGCGUGUGUGAAGAAGGCCUGAGGGUUGUAAAGCACUUUCAAUUGUGAAGAAAUAUUUAAGGUUAAUAACCUUAAAGUUUUGUACGUUAACUUUAGUAAGAAGCACCGGCUAACUCCGUGCCAGCGCCGCGGU
rnacentral:rRNA from 1 species